UACGUAGGGGGCAAGCGUUGUCCGGAUUUAUUGGGCGUAAAGAGCGUGUAGGCGGCUAUACAGGUCCGCUGUGAAAACUCGAGGCUCAACCUCGAGACGUCGGUGGAAACCGUAUGGCUAGAGUCCGGAAGAGGCGAGUGGAAUUCCUGGUGUAGCGGUGGAAUGCGCAGAUAUCAGGAGGAACACCAAUAGCGAAGGCAGCUCGCUGGGACGUUACUGACACUGAGGCGCGAAAGCGUGGGGAGCGAACAGG
rnacentral:rRNA from 1 species